GCUUGAUAGUUCGUCUCUUCCUGCCUCCACUUGCCAAGCCAAGCAAAUAGGCCAGGGUAAUAUCCUCCCACAUGGGCCGGACCUCCUAUCGACACAGAGUAUUAGCUUUAAAUUUCAUGUCCUACUGUCUUUGCGGGCAUGCAUGGUUUUAGAAGUCAGGGUGAUAUCCUGCGGGCAUCGAUUGGAGGUCCCUUUAACACACGGGUUUAAUAUUGACGGUUUUUCUUCGGUAGUCUCAUCUCCGGGUGAAGAUGAGUUCAUUACAGUAGAUGCGCACAUUGCUGACCCACCCAGGACGAAAGUGUUAUGAAGGCAAAAAAAAAAUGGAAGGAGAUUCUUCCAACUAAGUCAAGGAAGGGCGGCGAUGGAUUUCGACCUUUUGAUGCUCUACACAAGCCAAAGGGUUGUGGAACAUAGUAUUCAU